rnacentral:rRNA from 1 species
ACGGAAGGCAGCAGUGAGGAAUAUUGGUCAAUGGGCGGGAGCCUGAACCAGCCAAGUCGCGUGAAGAAAGACGGUAUUAUGUAUUGUAAACUUCUUUAGACGCAGAGAAAUAAGGGGCUCGCGAGCUCUGAUGCUAGUAUGCGUAGAAUAAGGAUCGGCUAACUCCGUGCCAGCAGCCGCGGUAAUACGGAGGAUCCGAGCGUUAUCCGGAUUUAUUGGGUUUAAAGGGUGCGCAGGCGGCCUGUUAAGUCAGCGGUAAAAUCGUGAGGCUCAACCUCAUCAUGCCGUUGAUACUGAUGGGCUUGAUUGCGGUCGAGGUAGGCGGAAUUCGUCGUGUAGCGGUGAAAUGCAUAGAUAUGACGAAGAACACCGAUCGCGUAGGCAGCUUACCAGACCGAAAAUGACGCUCAUGCACGAAAGUGCGGGGAUCGAACAGGAUUAGAUACCCUGGUA